GACGUAGGGCGCGAGCGUUGUCCGGAUUUAUUGGGCGUAAAGAGCUCGUAGGCGGUCUGUCGCGUCGGCUGUGAAACCCGGGGCUCAACCCCGGGCCUGCAGUCGAUACGGGCAGACUAGAGUGCGGUAGGGGAGACUGGAAUUCCUGGUGUAGCGGUGAAAUGCGCAGAUAUCAGGAGGAACACCGGUGGCGAAGGCGGGUCUCUGGGCCGUAACUGACGCUGAGGAGCGAAAGCGUGGGGAGCGAACAGG
rnacentral:rRNA from 1 species